rnacentral:rRNA from 1 species
UACGUAGGGCGCAAGCGUUGUCCGGAAUUAUUGGGCGUAAAGAGCUCGUAGGUGGCUUGUCACGUCGGGUGUGAAAGCUUGGGGCUUAACUCCAGGUCUGCAUUCGAUACGGGCUGGCUAGAGGUAGGUAGGGGAGAACGGAAUUCCUGGUGUAGCGGUGAAAUGCGCAGAUAUCAGGAGGAACACCGGUGGCGAAGGCGGUUCUCUGGGCCUUACCUGACGCUGAGGAGCGAAAGCGUGGGGAGCGAUCCGG